rnacentral:rRNA from 1 species
GACGAACGCUGGCGGCGUGCCUAAUACAUGCAAGUUGAGCGCUGAAGGUUGGUACUUGUACCAACUGGAUGAGCAGCGAACGGGUGAGUAACGCGUGGGGAAUCUGCCUUUGAGCGGGGGACAACAUUUGGAAACGAAUGCUAAUACCGCAUAAAAACUUUAAACACAAGUUUUAAGUUUGAAAGAUGCAAUUGCAUCACUCAAAGAUGAUCCCGCGUUGUAUUAGCUAGUUGGUGAGGUAAAGGCUCACCAAGGCGAUGAUACAUAGCCGACCUGAGAGGGUGGACGGCCACAUUGGGACUGGGGCACGGCCCAAACUCCUACGGGAGGCAGCAGUAGGGAAUCUUCGGCAAUGGACGAAAGUCUGACCGAGCAACGCCGCGUGAGUGAAGAAGGUUUUCGGAUCGGAAAAAUCUGUUGGUAGAGAAGAACGUUGGGGAGAGUGGAAAGCUCAUCAAGUGACGGUAACUACCCAGAAAGGGACGGCUAACUACGUG